AACGCUGGCGGCGUGCCUAAUACAUGCAAGUCGAGCGAACGGACGAGAAGCUUGCUUCUCUGAUGUUAGCGGCGGGCGGGUGAGUAACACGUGGAUAACCUACCUAUAAGACUGGGAUAACUUCGGGAAACCGGAGCUAAUACCGGAUGAUAUUUUGAACCGCAUGGUUCAAAAGUGAAAGACGGUCUUGCUGUCACUUAUAGAUGGAUCCGCGCUGCAUUAGCUAGUUGGUAAGGUAACGGCUUACCAAGGCAACGAUGCAUAGCCGACCUGAGAGGGUGAUCGGCCACACUGGAACUGAGACACGGUCCAGACUCCUACGGGAGGCAGCAGUAGGGAAUCUUCCGCAAUGGGCGAAAGCCUGACGGAGCAACGCCGCGUGAGUGAUGAAGGUCUUCGGAUCGUAAAGCUCUGUUAUUAGGGAAGAACAUAUGUGUAAGUAACUGUGCACAUCUUGACGGUACCUAAUCAGAAAGCCACGGCUAACUACGUGCCAGCAGCCGCGGUAAUACGUAGGUGGCAAGCGUUAUCCGGAAUUAUUGGGCGUAAAGCGCGCGUAGGCGGUUUUUUAAGUCUGAUGUGAAAGCCCACGGCUCAACCGUGGAGGGUCAUUGGAAACUGGAAUACUUGAGUGCAGAAGAGGAAAGUGGAAUUCCAUGUGUAGCGGUGAUAUGCGCAGAGAUAUGGAGG
rnacentral:rRNA from 1 species